rnacentral:rRNA from 1 species
UGGGGAAUAUUGGACAAUGGGCGCAAGCCUGAUCCAGCCAUGCCGCGUGGGUGAUGAAGGCCCUAGGGUUGUAAAGCCCUUUCGGCGGGGAAGAUAAUGACGGUACCCGCCGAAGAAGCACCGGCUAACUCCGUGCCAGCCGCCGCGGUAAGACGGAGGGGGCUAGCGUUGUUCGGAAUUACUGGGCGUAAAGGGCGCGGAGGCGGCCUGUUAAGUCGGUUGUGAAAGCCCGGGGCCCAACCCCGGGAC